rnacentral:rRNA from 1 species
UACGGAGGGAGCGAGCGUUGUCCGAAGUUACUGGGCGUAAAGCGCGCGUAGGCGGGGAAUUAAGUGAGAAGUGAAAGGCUGGGGCUCAACCUCAUGCAGUGCUCCUCAUACUGGUUCUCUUGAGGGCGGUGGGGAGAAGUGGAAUGGCUGGUGUAGCGGUGAAAUGCGUAGAUAUCAGUCGGAACACCGGUGGCGAAGGCGGCUUCUUGGGCCGUUUCUGACGCUGAUGCGCGAAAGCCAGGGGAGCGAACGGG